rnacentral:rRNA from 1 species
GAUGAACGCUGGCGGCAUGCCUAAUACAUGCAAGUCGAGCGGCCACACGACGUGCUUUCUCCGCUUGCGUUCGCGUGGCACGGGGGAGUGUCAUGCAUCGAACCUAGCUUUUUGACUGGGGAUACUGUAGGAAACGUUAGCCUAUAACGGCAUAUUUACUGAACCGGAAAGCACGAGAGUUAAAGGCGUUGUUCCUGACGAUUGUACCUUGCCGCAUUAGCUAGUUGGUAAGGUAAAGGCUUACCAAGGCAACGAUCCGUAGCGGGUCUGAGAGGAUGAUCCGCCACACUGGAACUGAGACACGGUCCAGACUCCUACGGGAGGCAGCAGUAGGGAAUCUUGCGCAAUGGGCGAAAGCCUGACCGAGCAACGCCGCGUGAGUGAUGAAGGUCUUCGGAUCGUAAAACUCUGUUAUUAGGGAAGAAAAAACGUGUAAGUAACUAUGCACGUCUUGACGGUACCUGAUCAGAAAGCAACGGCUAACUACGUG